AGGGUCGUGGUCCAAUGGUUACGACAAGGGUUUCCAAAACCUUUAAUGGGGGUUCGAUUCCCUCCGACCCUGCCA
rnacentral:tRNA from 1 species